rnacentral:rRNA from 1 species
GCUAACUCCGUGCCAGCAGCCGCGGUAAUACGGAGGGAGCUAGCGUUGUUCGGAAUUACUGGGCGUAAAGCGCACGUAGGCGGCUUUGUAAGUCAGAGGUGAAAGCCUGGAGCUCAACUCCAGAACUGCCUUUGAGACUGCAUCGCUUGAAUCCAGGAGAGGUGAGUGGAAUUCCGAGUGUAGAGGUGAAAUUCGUAGAUAUUCGGAAGAACACCAGUGGCGAAGGCGGCUCACUGGACUGGUAUUGACGCUGAGGUGCGAAAGCGUGGGGAGCAAACAGGAUUAGAUACCCCAGUAGUC